rnacentral:rRNA from 1 species
UGCCUAAUACAUGCAAGUCGAGCGAACGGACGAGAAGCUUGCUUCUCUGAUGUUAGCGGCGGACGGGUGAGUAACACGUGGAUAACCUACCUAUAAGACUGGGAUAACUUCGGGAAACCGGAGCUAAUACCGGAUAAUAUUUUGAACCGCAUGGUUCAAAAGUGAAAGACGGUCUUGCUGUCACUUAUAGAUGGAUCCGCGCUGCAUUAGCUAGUUGGUAAGGUAACGGCUUACCAAGGCAACGAUGCAUAGCCGACCUGAGAGGGUGAUCGGCCACACUGGAACUGAGACACGGUCCAGACUCCUACGGGAGGCAGCAGUAGGGAAUCUUCCGCAAUGGGCGAAAGCCUGACGGAGCAACGCCGCGUGAGUGAUGAAGGUCUUCGGAUCGUAAAACUCUGUUAUUAGGGAAGAACAUAUGUGUAAGUAACUGUGCACAUCUUGACGGUACCUAAUCAGAAACCAUUGGCUAACUACGUGCCAGCAGCCGCGGUAAUACGUAGGUGGCAAGCGUUAUCCGGAAUUAUUGGGCGUAAAGCGCGCGUAGGCGGUUUUUUAAGUCUGAUGUGAAAGCCCACGGCUCAACCGUGGAGGGUCAUUGGAAACUGGAAAACUUGAGUGCAGAAGAGGAAAGUGGAAUUCCAUGUGUAGCGGUGAAAUGCGCAGAGAUAUGGAGGAACACCAGUGGCGAAGGCGACUUUCUGGUCUGUAACUGACGCUGAUGUGCGAAAGCGUGGGGAUCAAACAGGAUUAGAUACCCUGGUAGUCCACGCCGUAAACGAUGAGUGCUAAGUGUUAGGGGGUUUCCGCCCCUUAGUGCUGCAGCUAACGCAUUAAGCACUCCGCCUGGGGAGUACGACCGCAAGGUUGAAACUCAAAGGAAUUGACGGGGACCCGCACAAGCGGUGGAGCAUGUGGUUUAAUUCGAAGCAACGCGAAGAACCUUACCAAAUCUUGACAUCCUUUGACAACUCUAGAGAUAGAGCCUUCCCCUUCGGGGGACAAAGUGACAGGUGGUGCAUGGUUGUCGUCAGCUCGUGUCGUGAGAUGUUGGGUUAAGUCCCGCAACGAGCGCAACCCUUAAGCUUAGUUGCCAUCAUUAAGUUGGGCACUCUAAGUUGACUGCCGGUGACAAACCGGAGGAAGGUGGGGAUGACGUCAAAUCAUCAUGCCCCUUAUGAUUUGGGCUACACACGUGCUACAAUGGACAAUACAAAGGGCAGCGAAACCGCGAGGUCAAGCAAAUCCCAUAAAGUUGUUCUCAGUUCGGAUUGUAGUCUGCAACUCGACUACAUGAAGCUGGAAUCGCUAGUAAUCGUAGAUCAGCAUGCUACGGUGAAUACGUUCCCGGGUCUUGUACACACCGCCCGUCACACCACGAGAGUUUGUAACACCCGAAGCCGGUGGAGUAACCUUUUAGGAGCUAGCCGUCGAAGGUGGGACAAAUGAUUGGGGUGAAGUCGUAACAAGGUAGCCGUAUCGGAAGGUGCGGCUG